rnacentral:lncRNA from 1 species
CUGGAAACCACACAGACGUCCUGCGAGUCCCAUCCCUUGCUCAUGUCGCCGGGGCUCCGGAGGAGGGCCACUCUGUAAAAGCGGCCGCCAGAUGGCGCCCAACGACCGGCGCGGAGGGGUCAGCGGGAGGGAACCGGGUCACCAGCCAGCGAGAGUGCACAGCCUGAGCCCACCGCCGGGUCAGAGAAGGACCGUGACGACGGAGGAAUUGUCCGCAGUCUGUCAGGAAUUGUGUGCAGCCUGUCACUUCCGGCCCAGAGGGUCUCUCUAAGGCAGACGGACAGACAGAGCCCACAAGUCGUAGAGGAAAGGACCGAGCCGCUUGGCCGCGGAAAAGUUUACAACACAAAACAGCGGUGCACGUAUUUCCCUUCCAAAAAAGAAGAACGGGAAAGGAGAUGUUAAAGGCAAGCAGAGAGAGGAAAACUGUUGCAAAACAAAAGCUGAGCUCCCGUCCGAGGGAGGCCUCCUCCAUUGGAGGCCUAGGAAAUCAUUCUGACAAAAUGGAGGAUCUCUGUCUUUGGUGUCGAUUCCCUCAGAGGUCAAGAGAAACCUUUUCCAAUGUCUUUAUCAGGAGGAGACUAGAAGUUAGAGAAAAGUAUCCUUUCGGGAGUGAGAAAAACAAAUUCUGAUUUUGCAUCAGCUUCCCUCCGAUCUUGAAACUCAUUGACUUGAUUCCAUUCUGUCGACGGAAAUAAUCCGGAACCAAUCUAUCCGUGAAAAUCGGGGGCACAACCAAAGGGACGUCUAUCGACCCACCCACCAAGGAUUCCCCCCCCCCGCACGGCACAGCAGGAUGCCUGAGAGAUCCAUGCAGCCCUACAGUGGCAAGUCACAUUCGCACAGUCAAAACUCAAUGGCAGAGACAAAACGUUAAGGUCAGCGAGAGGGAAGAGAAUAACCGGCCCAGGAGCAACGGUGUGAAGAACACGGAGAAGACGGGUCCUAGACGCCGGGGUCCCCGGAGCAGCGAUUUCAUCAGAGGCCCGCGAACGUCCACGAUCUCCACACCACGUUUAUGGCCGACUGCGUGCGUGGGUCCUUUGGAAUCGACCAGGCUACUGUCCGGGCCACUUUGGGACAUCGUGGCCAGCUGCCCCGAGCGGUGGAGCUGUCAUUCGAGUAAAACAAGGGCCGGGGCCGAGCCCGUGGACGAGCGGUCAAGUACGCGCCCCCCACCCCGACCCC